rnacentral:tRNA from 1 species
GGAAUCACUCCAAGCAGGAAAGUCUGACCGAUAAUCAGACUGGAAAGGUUAAAAUCCUUUUGGUUCCU